UGUGAAGAUGGAAGAACGCCC
rnacentral:piRNA from 1 species